UUAGGGGAAUUUUUCGGUGCACCCUGCGGCACGGCAGAGCUGCGCUCCUCCGACCGCGUCGGAGAUUCACACAACGAGUUACCUGCAACUGGCUGUGACAAGAGCCCUGAAAAGCAGCGUUGUAAUGUGAACCACGCAUCUUUAUUACACUGAUGUAACCUCCUCCUGAUCGGACAGCCGUCGCGAAAGCCUGACACCAUCCUCCUGCCGCGGCCCAGCACGGUGGCUGCAGCGCGCGGGACAGGGGUGCCGGUCUGCAGCUCUGCAAGUAGAAACAUGAAGGCAAUGGCGUAAUUCCAAGCCCAUCUACCUUUGGGAAAGCCCCUAGAGUGAAUGCAAAUGAGACGCAGGGCACAGCGAAGCCGAAGAAAGUUUACCAAGUCUAAUCGAGUCCGUAGUCUGCUCGUGCCCGUCUGGACGCCGUUGGCGGGGCCCCGCGCGGAUUCGCAGACCUUUACUGUGACUGUACAUCAGACCAAUUUCCUGAACGUCCUGCUCGGCCCUCUGGGUCUUCCAGAGCCGACUCUGCUGGUGGCUCGGGGAAAGGAGAAGCAGCCGGAUGGCACCAGGAGUCACGCCACCCAAUGACUGUGACGAAGCGCCAUGUGUGAUGAUCCGAGAUGUCCUUAUCUGCAGCUUAUGAAUACUGAGUGAUGUCAGGACAUCUCUGCUGAGCUGAUGGCUCUGUUCCUGAUACACAGCCUUUUCCAUUUUUCGAUGUCUUUUGCCUUCCCUCGCCAAGGAGUCGCAAUAGCACGUAUGGAAGAUGUGCUGCUAGACGGGAGCCGUGCCUGCCCGAGGGAUGGCAAAGCCUUUCCUCCGCGGGGAGCGAGCUGAUGGACGCGGCGUGAGCAGCGCGUGGCAGUGCUAUAAAAGGAUAACUGGUUCAACUGAUGCAUGAUGGGUUUGGGAUCGCCUUUGCACUGGCGCUUUUGGGGAGACACCAGCGUUCUCUAUACAGCUCGUGCUUGUGUUGUUGCUGAGCUUGAGCUCUGCCUUUGCCACCGCGGCUUGGGUUUGGCUUGCUGAGAGCCAUCAGUUGAACGCCAGUGCUCAGGUCCACUGAGUGACACAGAUGGUCUCGGGCCGAAUCCUCAUUUGGAUGCUCGUUAAAAAAAGAAGAGGGGGUGGAUAGCAGCAUCGCAUCCAUUUGUGUUGCCUGCCCGGAUCUCCAGCACCUGUGAGAUGGAGGAAGGGGGAUGAUGGAAAAUGAGCCACCACCACUGUGAGCAGGGAUCAGGCAUGGCUCAGCUGGGAGAGGAGCUGUGGUGGGUUCACGAAAGGAAAGCUUCUGUACCCUGCAGUCCUGUUGUGCUACCCAACGCUUGUACAAAGCCGAGACCGGAGUCCUGCAAGUUGUUAACUUGCGUAAUUUUGUAAGAGAUUUGCAAGCUGCUUAUAGCCCCCCUGCGUGUGACUGCCAUGUCCGUGCAAUGGGAAGGCACCGUGGGGGACAGGGAGCCGGGACGUGGGGCGGAGAGGCAGCACGGCUGCCGUUGCUGCCCUUGGGGCACCAGAGGAGAGGUACGAGAUCUUUCACCUCCUCUUCGUGGAAGGCAAAAAAAAAAAAAAAUCUGGCUUAUACUUGCCAUGCAACUCUCCACUGCUACUAUAACACCAGUGAUCAUCUCCGUGAGCUUCUGAAUGUGAAUUAUGUGCCAUUCUCUUCUUCUGUAGGUGCAAAUAUAAUGUCUUUUAAUGUGUUUCUAAGGUUAAAAAAGAAAGGCCUCUGCACUGAUUUAAUUAUCUGAAAACCUCUUACUCUGAUAUACUUCUACCUUUUGUGGAGCAACUAACUGUCAUUUAGCUUGAUUUAACUAAUUUACUCAUAUCAAUUAAUUGGAUAAUGAGUCACAGGCAAGUUUUAGGUAUCUCACAACUAUUAUCCUCAUUUCAUCGUUUAUUGUUAGAGAAAAUAUAACAUUUCCCCAAGUACUCUGAAAGCAUAUGCCUAUUUUAAUAAACGGAAAUUGUCAUAAUUAUAUUGGUCCUCACUGUUCUAUAUUGUCCUCAAGUCAACUGUUAAAUUGUUCUCAAAUUUCCAUUCAAACCACAGAAGGACACUCUCAUGUCUAAAAAUGGUGAGGCCACUUUCAAUGCCUGAACAUUUGAACAUAUUGCUUAAACUGUGUAGCUCGCAAUUGUGGUCCUGUGGGUGUUUAUAUUUGGUAGAUAUUUUUAAGGUUAAUCAUGAGCCUAAUUUGUUGUCAUUUUAUUCCUAGAUCUAAUAGACAAGAGUAAAGUCAGAUUCAUGAUAUGUUGUGCACUACUAGGGAUGGCUGGCUGAGUCCUUUUUGUGGCUUUGUAAAGCGUUUAUAAAAUGCCCUAAAAUACUUUGAGAUAAAAGGUGCUACAGCGACUAAUGGGAACAUUAAGCAAUAUGCCUUCCUAAAACAGACCUUAUCCACUGCUUAAAAAAUAAAGAACUUACUUUGCCAAGAUAUUAAACAUUUAACAGCCUUAAAAAUAUAUUUUUAAGAAUUGAAUGGCUCAUUCCCCUAACUAAAGAGGCCUUUAGAGGAAUUUUUGGAAGGUACUAAUUUUUCUGUUUUAUGCAAUGGUAAAAUUCUUUGGGUUUCUAUAUAUGUGGAUAAUAACACCAAAACGUGUUUAAAAUUCACUUCAUUAAGCAGUCAAUGAACUUUUCUGGUAAGUCCGGUACUUGCAGUUUUAUUUUUGUGUGAAUUAUUGUUUGGCUUAUACCUGCCUUCUAGUUUUAUGCUUUCAGCUCUGUGUAUUAGUGAGUUUAGUCAUAUCUAAGCCCUACGGAUUUUGGCAGCAGGCUCUGACUUUUAGCAGCAGUCCGGGGCCCCAGGACUUCCCACAGUUUGGACCUCCCGGGCUCCCGAAACACGAGUCCUUUGCGCCUCGGACGUGAGCCACCUGCACGCAGAUGCUGUCGUGUUGGCGCGUGAGCGAUGCCCCCUGCGAUCACCUUUCAGGAGCCUGGAGUUUAUCAGACGCGUUGUGCAGCAGUGCUGGAUCUAUUACUAUUGGAUCUGUCCACAUGAACAGGUCUGGUUUUGAAUGUACAGUUAAUAUGGUUUAAUAUAUGUUUAAUUACUUUAAGCCUGCAUCUAAGAAUAUUUUUCAGAUUUGUAUUACUGUUACAUAUUUCAAAGCAUACCAGUCAUACAAGUUCUUUUUGGGGAAAGUGUCACAGUCAGUAAUUUUACAUUAGAGCUACACUGGACUUUGGAAUUAAGGGUGCAAGUUAUGAUGUUUUAGUGUGCAUUUCCCCACAAUCAGUAUUUUCACUUUUGAGCGGGUUAAUGAAACUCUCUAAAGCUGUAGUUUGUGAUGGCCUGCAGCACAUUACUGAGGGCUCAUUAUCUUGUCAAAGCUCAUAAAAUACAGCCACCGCAGGAGUGAUGUUGUUACUCACUGAGUUAAUACAGGGUGAGUCUUUUCACGUGGCACCAGGAGGAGAAACGUGGCAGCAGGUACAGCCGGGGAUGAAGCGCGGGACCCUGCGAGACUCUACCCACAGAAAAGGUUCUAAAUUUGUUUUGGACAAAUUGGAUUUGAUGCUCUUCAGUUUUCCUUCUGAAAACUCUCGUGUGACUUUAUUGUCAGCUGAAGUGUUUAUUGACUGAGAAGUGCUUGCGUUUUAGCGAUGGAGACGGUGAUCCUGGUAAACACUCGGAGGCCUUCAUGGUGCAACGUGCCGUGUAAGUGUUUGUGUCGUUCUAUGAUGGAGUGGGCAGACACUUGUUUAAAUGAAAAGUAGAAGAAAAAGCCCACAGUCUGAGCAGCCAUUAGGUUCAUUAAAGCUAGUAUGAAGAUGGGAGUUAAAUGAUUUGUGGCUAUAUACAAAUGUCUUAAAGUAGAAAAGUAACGUGGGAUCCAAUGCCAUUAUUACUGGGAAAAGUGCCAGUGUUCUCAUUAUUUUUAAUGACUUCCAAACUGGGCCCUUAGCAACUGAUGAACUAAGCAAUUUGAGAUGGGAAAUGUGGCUCCUUCAAUUCUGAAAGGUGCAGGAUACCCUCAAUUUCUAGGGGCCCUGACAAUGCUCAGGAGGUUGCAAGGGGCAGCAAAGUGUAGGUUAAUGCCUAACAUGGUGGCAGCUUUAGAAAGGGGGAAGAAAAAAGGAAAGUUUGUACUAGGUCGUUUUGUUUUGUUUUCCUUUUUUUAAUAAAAUAGAACAAUCUAACUGAUAAAAAAAUUGGAUGUGACACCGCAGCUCCUGAACAAACAUCCAUCACUGCGGAAAGAUAGGCGUUGAAGAAUAUGUCUGCAGCUCUUCGGAUUUUAUCCCAAUAUUAAUAAACAAAACCCCAAACCCACUUCAGUAACUGUUUCUGUUUAUUAAAAAAGAUAAAUAUCUCAUGAAGAUCUGGAAGUCAUUAAUAAUGAAGUGACGAGUGUGCGAAGAGCUCACCUUGGAGAGGAGGCAGCCGCCUGUUGCAGCACCCCGACGGUUCCCUUCUUGCACUGUUAAGUGUGUUUGGGAAUCUACCUCCCUUGGAAAGCUGACCAAAACUGAUUUUAUUCCCUAACAGGGAGACAGCGCCCGUGUGUUGCCCUGUGUAGGGCAACACACUUGUGGCAAGCGACUUGUUCACGGAGAGCCCAGGGCAGGAGCCUGUUUUGGAAACCCGCCGUGCACCCGGGGCGGUGGCCGGUCCCUCGGGUCCUGCGCGAGGUGCCCGCCGGCUGCAUCACCAAGAGCACAGCAGCUGGGGGCCCUGCGGUUGUGGUCACCAUCGAGCCAACGCAGCAACGGGGUCCGGAUCCCGCGGUGGUUGUCCCGGGCUGGUCCGGCCACGUGGCGCUGGGGACAUCGCUCUUCACCCCCAGGAAAAGGGGGGAAACGCUCGUGGCCUUUUUUCACUUCCAAACGUGAAUUUAACUGGUCCGUGCAGCUGAGCCGCAUGAGGGGAGAGGUAAGAUUAGCACCAAUUUAACAGCACUCUACAUUUUCGCUACCCUCAAGUAUAAGUUACUCUGGAUAUGCAGUAAUAGCCAUAAUUAAAA